GGGCAUGUAGCUCAGUUGGUUAGAGCGCUACACUGAUAAUGUAGAGGUCCCAAGUUCAACUCUUGGCAUGCCCA
rnacentral:tRNA from 1 species